rnacentral:lncRNA from 1 species
GUGAUACUAAACAUUUUAAAGGGAUACCGAAAAUGGGAUUCGUCACUGUGUUAUUCAAUAUAAAAAAAAGAUUAAAAAAAAAUUGGAAAACAACACGUUUGAUAAUUUCAAUGCGUCCGAAGUGCUUUUCUGGAUUUACCUUCAUCAGGAACGCUGAAAGCCAAACAUCAAGUUGAAAUCCGAGGAUGUAUAAGUACCGAAACCGUUGAAGAGCAAUAUGACAAAAAUACCUAAAAUUGAGAGCCAA